rnacentral:rRNA from 1 species
UACGUAGGUGGCGAGCGUUGUCCGGAUUUACUGGGCGUAAAGAGCGCGCAGGCGGUCGUGCAAGUCGCGUGUGAAAGCCCCCGGCUCAACUGGGGAGGGUCACGCGAUACUGCUCGACUCGAAGGCAGGAGAGGGAAGUGGAAUUCCCGGUGUAGUGGUGAAAUGCGUAGAUAUCAGGAGGAACACCGGUGGUGUAGACGGCUUUCUGGACCGUAACUGACGCUGAGACACGAAAGCGUGGGUAGCAAACAGG